rnacentral:rRNA from 1 species
CUAUGCGCCUUGCCAGCCCGCUCAGUCAGAGUUUGAUCCUGGCUCAGAACGAACGUUAGCGGCGCGCCUAAGACAUGCAAGUCGAGCGAGAAAGGGCUUCGGCCCCGGUAAAGCGGCGCACGGGUGAGUAACACGUAGGUCAUCAACCCCCGAGUGGUGGAUAACUCUCCGAAAGGAGAGCUAAUACAGCAUGACGGCAGCAAUGUCCAAAGCGGGCCUCUUCAUGAAAGCUCGCGCUUGGGGAUGAGCCUGCGGCCCAUCAGGUAGUUGGCGGAGUAACAGCCCACCAAGCCUAAGACGGUAGCUGGUCUGAGAGGAUGAACAGCCACACUGGAACUGAGACACGGUCCAG